UACGUAGGGCGCAAGCGUUAUCCGGAAUUACUGGGCGUAAAGAGCUCGUAGGUGGUUUUGUCGCGUUGUUCGUGAAAAACUCACAGCUCAACUGUGGGCGUGCGGGCGAUACGGGCAGACUUGAGUACUGCAGGGGAGACUGGAAGUCCUGGUGUAGCGGUGGAAUGCGCAGAUAUCAGGAGGAACACCGGUGGCGAAGGCGGGUCUCUGGGCAGUAACUGACGCUGAGGAGCGAAAGCGUGGGGAGCGAACAGG
rnacentral:rRNA from 1 species